rnacentral:antisense_RNA from 1 species
UUCAAUCCCACACUUACCUUACCAGAUACUAAAGUCAUUUCUACCUUUCCUCUUGAGAUUUGCUGUUAGAUAUUAGAACUUCUCUUUGUCACAUACUUACAGGGAGAUUUUGAUUAUCCAUGGGAUUCCAUUCAUAACCUCAUAAACCACCCCCAUGAAGAAAUUAUAUAUCUCGAAGAGGCUAUAUGGGCACAUAGUGAGAUGGUGGCCUCCCAUGAGCCAAGAAAAGAGGGCUUAAAAUGAAUCCUACGUGGCUGGCACCUUGAUCUUGGACUUCCUAGCAUCCAGAAAUGUGACAUGGUUUUCUGGUGCCUUGGCCACUAUUCACGAUGCAUGGGAAGACUAAACACUUUGUGCAUAGCAUUCUGUCUCAUCUAGUGAAGUCUUCGUCUGGAUUAUUGAAGCAGACACCUCCAACCUCUUAAUCUGUACUGAAUAUUGCUCUGUCGCCAGGCUGGAGUGCAGUGGUGCGAUAUCAGCUCACUGCAACCUCCGCCUCUCGGGUU